rnacentral:rRNA from 1 species
AACGAACGCUGGCGGCAUGCCUAACACAUGCAAGUCGAACGGGAUCCUAGCUUGCUAGGUGAGAGUGGCGGACGGGUGAGUAACACGUGGGAAUCUGCCUUUUGGUUCGGGAUAACCGCGGGAAACUGCGGCUAAUACCGAAUGCCCCUCGUGAGAGGAAAGAUUUAUCGCCAGAAGAGGAGCCCGCGUCCGAUUAGGUAGUUGGUGGGGUAAAGGCCUACCAAGCCGACGAUCGGUAGCUGGUCUGAGAGGAUGAUCAGCCACACUGGGACUGAGAUACGGCCCAGACUCCUACGGGAGGCAGCAGUGGGGAAUAUUGGACAAUGGGGGCAACCCCUGAUCCAGCAAUGCCGCGUGAGUGAUGAAGGCCUUAGGGUUGUAAAGCUCUUUGCCAGGGAAGAUGAUGACUGUACCUGGAGAAUAAGCCCCGGCUAACUUCGUGCCAGCAGCCGC